UGGUAACAGCUAAGUUAGACUCCAUCAUUUUAUAUGUAUAGUUGGGAUUAUGUUUUCCAAUAUGCAUUACUUUGCAUUUACCAACAUUGAAUUUCAUCUGCCAUUUUAUUUCCCAGCCAUCCAAUCCUGUGAGAUCCCUUUCUAACACUUCACACUCUGCUUUGGACUUAACUUGUUCAAAAUGGACACCUGAUUUC